UACGUAGGAGGCGAGCGUUGUCCGGAAUUACUGGGCGUAAAGGGCGCGUAGGCGGCACUGUUAGUCAGGCGUGAAAGUCCUGGGCUCAACCUGGGAACUGCGCUUGAUACGGCAGAGCUAGAGGAUGGAAGAGGCUCGCGGAAUUCCCAGUGUAGAGGUGAAAUUCGUAGAUAUUGGGAAGAACACCGGUGGCGAAGGCGGCGAGCUGGUCCAUUACUGACGCUGAGGCGCGACAGCGUGGGGAGCAAACAGG
rnacentral:rRNA from 1 species